rnacentral:rRNA from 1 species
CCCUUAGAUGUUCUGGGCCGCACGCGCGCUACACUGAUUCAUGCAACAAGUUUUGUCCUUGGCUGAUAGGCCUGGGUAAUCUUUGAACGUGAAUCGUGAUGGGGAUAGAUGAUUGCAAUUAUUCAUCUUCAACGAGGAAUUCCUAGUAAACGCAAGUCAUCAGCUUGCAUUGAUUACGUCCCUGCCCUUUGUACACACCGCCCGUCGCACCUACCGAUUGAAUGGUCCGGUGAAAUCUUCGGAUCUGAGAGAUGUCUGAUUAAUUUCGGACGCCUUUUGGAAAAGUUGUUUAAACCUUAUCAUUUAGAGGAAGGAGAANUCGUAACA